GGGCGGUUAGCUCAGUGGUAGAGCGUUCCGUUCACAUCGGAAAGGUCAGAAGUUCGAUCCUUCUACCGCCCA
rnacentral:tRNA from 1 species